GCGAAAGCGUGGGGAGCAAACAGGAUUAGAUACCUGGUAGUCCACGCGUAAACGAUGUCGACUUGGAGGUUGUGGCUUCCGGAGCUAACGCGUUAAGUCGACCGCUGGGGAGUACGGCCGCAAGGUUAAAACUCAAAUGAAUUGACGGGGGCCCGCACAAGCGGUGGAGCAUGUGGUUUAAUUCGAUGCAACGCGAAGAACCUUACCUGGUCUUGACAUCCAGGUGCUGCAUGGCUGUCGUCAGCUCGUGUUGUGAAAUGUUGGGUUAAGUCCCGCAACGAGCGCAACCCUUAUCCUUUGUUGCAACUCAAAGGAGACUGCCAGUGAUAAACUGGAGGAAGGUGGGGAUGACGUCAAGUCAUCAUGGCCCUUACGACCAGGGCUACACACGUGCUACAAUGGCGCAUACAAAGAGAAGCGACCUCGCGAGAGCAAGCGGACCUCAUAAAGUGCGUCGUAGUCCGGAUUGGAGUCUGCAACUCGACUCCAUGAAGUCGGAAUCGCUAGUAAUCGUGGAUCAGAUGCCACGGUGAAUACGUUCCCGGGCCUUGUACACACCGCCCGUCACACCAUGGGAGUGGGUUGCAAAAGAAGUAGGUUACCACUUUGUGAUUCAUGA
rnacentral:rRNA from 1 species